UUCCUGCAUCCUGCGGUCCUGCCACGCCCCACCUCACCGAGCGUCUCCGGCCACCCCCUGCCGCCGAGCGUCGCCCCCGCGCCUCUGCCUCACCUAGCGCCCGAUCCAGCCGUCGUUCAUCGCCAGCACACGUGGAUCCGGCCGCCCCUCGCCUUCCCCAUCGGCUGCACCUCCUAGCGCCACCGCCCCUGCCAUACUCCGCCGCUGGAGGAUCUCCGCCCUGCCUGGAUCCACAUCCCCGCGGCGACACCGGCAGUCGGCGACGAUGGACGACCACGGUGUAGUGCCCUUGGUCCUCGCCGUCCCCUUGCCUAUAUGCAAGUAAAAGCGACCAUGGUUCAGGCAUCUGUUGGUUAUUGAAAAAUCUGACAACCGCAAGAGAAUAAGAGCUGCAGACUCAGAGUGUAUGUGAUAUCCCUGCCAGAUUGCUACAGCAUAUUCAUGCAGGUGUUGAGGCAGGGAAAAGGCAGCAGUAGAGGCAUGGGCACUUCAGAAAAGGGUGUUGACUGUUCUGAUUGAGGCCAGGC